CCAAUCGAACUUGGAGAUAGCUGGUUCUCUCCGAAAUAGCUUUAGGGCUAGCCUCAAGUGAUGAUUAUUGGAGGUAGAGCACUGUUUGGACGAGGGGCCCCUCUCGGGUUACCGAAUUCAGACAAACUCCGAAUGCCAAAUAAUUUAACUUGGGAGUCAGAACAUGGGUGAUAAGGUCCGUGUUCGAAAGGGAAACAGCCCAGACCACCAGCUAAGGUCCCAAAAUAUAUGUUAAGUGGAAAAGGAUGUGGCGUU
rnacentral:rRNA from 1 species